UCAGGCUUCAACCAUGAAGUUUCGUGCUUGAGGUGAAGCUGGAAUGAAUUCUUUCAUAGCCCUAUCCCGAGGAUAAAAUGUUGAAUUGUACUCAACUGCUCUUAACGUGACUCAUUUGACGACACAAUACAUAGAUGUCACGACUCUAUUAACAUCGAAUAUCGAAUCUUUUCUACGCGGGAUGUAGCCUUACAUCCUGGCAAUUCUAUUCUUUUAUUUUUAUCUAUCUAUUGAUUUUGGGUGAAAUGAGUUCAUUUUCUUGGGAUAUCCUUCAGUACAUACAACUUUGUGGCAAUAUAAACCGCCACAAAAUUUUGUGAAUAUUUGGGUGUAUAGACAGUUAGACACACAGUUAACUACACUUUUUUUCCAAAAUCCCAAACCAGCUGAAUUGAGAAUGGGGAGUGUGCCAUGGAAGCAGCUUCUUCUCAACGCUUUGGAAUCCAACGCUCACCUCAAGCACUCUUCUUACAUGCAGCUCGCAACCGUAGGAACCAACGGAAAACCUUCGAAUCGCACCGUCGUAUUCAGAGGGUUCCAAGACAACACUGAUAACAUCCAAAUUAACACCGAUGCUCGAACCCGCAAGAUUGAAGGGCUCAAGGUUUGCUCCUCUGCUGAGAUAUGUUGGUAUUUCACAGAUUCCUGGGAGCAAUUUCGGAUAAAUGGGAAUGUAGAUAUCAUCGAUGGGUCGAAUCCUGACCCACUAAAACUUCAGCAAAGAGAAAAGUCCUGGUUUGCCAGUUCACUGAGAUCAAGGUCGCAAUAUAUGUGUCCCAACCCUGGACUUCCUUGUCUAAAUGAACAAGCACAACCGGAAAUAUCAUUGGAUCCUUCUACAGGUCCAGUUGAUGCUUUUUGUCUACUGAUUCUAGAACCAGAUGGGGUUGAUUACUUGAAUCUGAAGAAUAACCAGAGGCUAGCAUUCAAAUCAAGAGUGGGUGAUGCAGCAAAGAAAAGCUGGGUUAUGGAGAGGGUCAAUCCAUGAUAAGUUAUCUGUCAUAUUUAGAUUUCAUUGCAAUCAACAAAAUACAUGUGCAUCAGAGAGAGAAUUGACUAAAGAGUAUCAUUCAGAUUCUCAUCCUGUUCGAUAUAUACCUAGAGGAGUGAGCAAAGAUGGUGGUGGCACAAGGUAGAAUUAAUGGAAGGGAAGCCCUUUAAUAAGAGUGAGACUCUGUUUGGUAGACUUUUUUUAUUGGAGGAAAUUAAGAAGAGAAAAAGGCUAUGCAGGUUCUAUUCUAUUUGUCAGCUUUCAUGAUUUCUCUAGCUUGAACGUGAAUUGGUGAUAAUAAGAUGUUGGGAAGUGAUUAUUCAACAUGACCACAUUGGUAGGGAAGGGUUCAGCAUAAACUUUACUAUCCCCUCCCCUGUUUUUAUCUAUUGAUAUCUUCUUUUAUCAACAUUUUCUGUUACAAAUCAUACCAUUGACUGAGAAUGGAGUGCACACAUGCCUCUAAACAUGCUCUCUUUCAAACCCCACCAUAAUCAACCACCUCCCUUAAUGUUCUACUUAUAAUUUUCCAUAAAUUUAAAUGCUUUUAUGAUUUA